rnacentral:sRNA from 1 species
GAUGGGGUUAUUUCUGUCCAUUGUGCUGGUGUGGCCACUGCACAUCUCCCCUCAAGUCCGCAUCGAUGUCAUGUUGGCAGCCAGGAGUUGGCCAUGACGGGAAUAUUCACACCAUGGACACUGGCAAACGCCCCACAGCAGGGCCUGCCUCUGCGCCCCAGAGAGCUGGCUGUUGAGCAUUUACCAGAACAUCACUUGUGCUUGUGGUGGCGGUGGUGGCCAGGGGUCAGAUGCUGGCUCUGUUUCAAGGUAGAGCUGAUGGGACUGGCUGGUGGAUGGAUGUGGGGCCUGUGGUCCGCCUGGCAGAGCAAGAGCCGCUGUUCCUCACGGUGCCUUCAGCCUCCUGAGAAAUGCUGUCUAAGUGUAGAGGCAGCGGGAGGGGUGGGCAAAGCUCUAGGAGGGGUGGCCAUAUGCCCAGAACAAAGCCUCUCUCUCUCACACACAGUAGGUGCCCAGAAGAUUUUCAUUGCUGAAAGAGUUUAAGCCCUUCCUGACUCUACAGGUCACUGGGUAGGGCUAUAUCCAGUUUAGUCUAAUAAGACACUCAUUUUAGAGAACAGGGAAAAACCAAUUAAAAAACAGAAAAUACAAUUGUUAGAGGAAAGCAGAGGCAGGCUUUGGCCCUGCUUGUGGCCAGCACAGGGGCCCUCGCUGGCAGCUGCCGCCUGGAGGGUGUGCACACUGGCUCCUGCUGGCCGCAGCCCUGAGCUCUUCCCACUUCCCCGUGCCCAGGCCCUUCCUGCGUUCCCUUUCUUCUGUCUCCUAUACCCGGGUCUUCAUGGCCUCUGAGAGAGCUGGAUACUCCCACAGAGAAGGUAUAGGAAAUAGGACCAAGUGACACUACACUUCAAACUGGAUCUCAUCCCUCCUGGCUUAAAACCGCCUCGCCCCCAGCCUGUUCUCCGGACCAACAGGGUCCAGAUCCUCAGUAGACACCAGUGGCCCUUUGACAGGUGGCCUCACCGACCUCUCCAGCUUCCAUGGGGGCACCUCCCUUUGCACCCCACCAUCCCAAAAGGGCCAAUGUCCUCUCUGGCCAGGCCUGGGACCCACUGCUCCAGCCUCAGCCUGGCAUGCCCCUGCUUCAGUGCCUCAUCCCCUGCUGUCAGGUCCUGACCCAACAAGGGCCUGGGCUGCUCAUGGGGAUGAUAGGUGGUUUGCUUGUCCUCUCUCUGCGACCCCUUUGCAGUUUGAAGGCCGGAAGUACUGCGAACACGACUUCCAAAUGCUGUUUGCUCCGUGCUGUGGAUCCUGCGGUGAGUUCAUCAUUGGCCGCGUCAUCAAGGCCAUGAACAACAACUGGCACCCGGGCUGCUUCCGCUGCGAGCUGUGUGAUGUGGAGCUGGCUGACCUGGGCUUUGUGAAGAAUGCCGGCAGGCAUCUCUGCCGGCCUUGCCACAACCGUGAGAAGGCCAAGGGCCUGGGCAAGUACAUCUGCCAGCGGUGCCACCUGGUCAUCGACGAGCAGCCCCUCAUGUUCAGGAGCGACGCCUACCACCCUGACCACUUCAACUGCACCCACUGUGGGUAGGUGCGCAGCCCGGCCCUGCAGUUGUAGGGGCGGGGAGCCAGGGCUGGCCCAGGGUAAGGGCGGUGGGGCCUCCACCUGGGGAAGUGUUGAGGAGGGAGAGGGGAGCAGGGUGGGCAGACAGAGGGGUCCCGAGAGCAAGGCUGCAGGGCAGAGGUGGGCUGGGGGCUGGGAAGCAGCCAUGGCAGGAAGCUUCUCUCUCCAGGGCUCUGUUUGGGGGGCACUUGAGACUCAGGAGGUGGGUGGGCUGGACCCCUAGACUGCAGACGAGGGUUGAGAUGGAGCAGCGGAAGGGACCUGAGGGGGCAGGGCAAGAGACCGGGAGUGGGCUUGGUGCUGGUGUUGGAGAGAGGAGUUGCAUAGGCAGCCCCUCAGCCCCCGUCCUCGCCCACCCCCACCGUCCCCUCCAGUCCUCUCCGUGCCUAUCCAGACACCCCCUCUGGUUUGGAGGAGGAGGGGGGCCCGAGAACAGACCUGCUUCUCAGAGGCCUGGGUGCAGAACACAGGCCACUCUUCUGGGCUGUGCAGGAAGUCUGUGCUCCAGGGCCUGUCUGGGGCACAGGAAGUCUUCAAAGGGCCCAGAGAUCAGAAGGCGCUGCCGCCUUGGCUCUGCAGGGACAGAAUGGGCCCCUCGGGGAGCCGUGCCCUGGGGUGGAGGCGCUGCUGGCAUGACCCUGCAGAAGUGCAGGGGUGGCACCUGGGGGCUGCACGCUGUCUUCCAGGAAGGAGCUGACGGCCGAGGCCCGCGAGCUGAAGGGUGAGCUCUACUGCCUGCCCUGCCAUGACAAGAUGGGCGUCCCCAUCUGUGGGGCCUGCCGCCGGCCCAUCGAGGGCCGAGUGGUCAACGCGCUGGGCAAGCAGUGGCACGUGGAGGUGAGCCAGGCUGGUGGACACGUGGCCUCAGGUUGGGGGGUGCCCCAGCUCAGGGUCACGGUCAGAGCCCUAAAGCUCCUCCACACUCCCAGCCCAGGGCGGGUGGCUGGCUCCCAACGAGGCCCUUCCUCAGGGGUACUGCCCCUCCCUGUGCUCAGCCAGGGACCCCAGCCUGCCCACGGGAGCCAGGAGACCCGAGUGCACACACAUGGUUGGGUAGCUGUGCCCACCUCUCCUCUUCCCCCUGCUGGCAUUCUAAGAGACUCCAAGGUCAGGAGAAAACCUUGGGGGCAGUCUGCCCAGAGUGCCUGGGGGUUGUGGUGGACAGAACCCGCUGCAUGGACAGCCCUGUGCAGACACGGAGCUGAAGAGUUCCUCAGGUGUGAGCACUGGGUCACCUGGAGUGCCCCCGCCGGGUGGUGGGCUCUCAUGUUCUCAUGGGUACACUGGGAACAGUGAGCCCACCACCUUCCCUGAUGACCUGGCCAGCGCUGUGUCCAGAAGCUGUGCCUUGGGUGGCAGCUUGGGUGGGAGGCCAUGCGGUCCUGCCCUGAUGCAGGCCCCAGCCCCCAGCCCUCAUCCUCACAUGCAGAUCCCUGGGGGAAUGCAAGGUGCUGCUCAGUGAUCCCAGGCUUGCAGGGGGUGCCUGCAGGAGGCCCCACGUGGACAGGCAGGGCCGCCUCUGCCUAUGAGGGCCCACCAUGCUGCAGCACCAGGCUGGCACCUGACUCCUGGGGCUGAGGCUGCCGAGGGGGAGGCCAGACUGGGAGGGGAUGGUGACUCGCAAGGUUACCAUCAGUGCCUUAGAGGAGGGGUAGGGUCUGCUGACCCCAGGGCAUUCACAGAGGUGUCAGUUCCCUCUGCCCAGUGUGAAUCCUGAAAGGCCUGCACCUGCCCAGACUCUGCUUCCUGUCCCCUUCUGUCACUGCUGCCUCCUGGGGCCAGUGUGGUCCCCUGGAGUCACCACUGGCUCCUGGGGUCACUGUUGUCCCCGGGUCACCACUGUUCCUCGGGGUCACAACUCUAGCCCUGAUGCCACCCGGCCCGCCCUCUGUCCUUGCAGCACUUUGUCUGUGCCAAGUGUGAGAAGCCAUUCCUGGGGCACCGGCACUAUGAGAAGAAGGGCCUGGCCUACUGCGAGACUCACUACAACCAGCUCUUCGGAGACGUCUGCUACAACUGCAGCCAUGUGAUUGAAGGCGAUGGUGAGGCCCUGUGUUCCCUCCCCCACCCCACCUGCUCUCCUGGGGCCUGGGUGCUGCAGCUGUGAGCCCAGCCGGGCCUGCGGCAGCCUAGCCAGGCCUGCUGAGUCCCACGCUUCCCUCACAGUGGUGUCGGCCCUCAACAAGGCCUGGUGUGUGAGCUGCUUCUCCUGCUCCACCUGCAACAGCAAGCUCACCCUGAAGAACAAGUUUGUGGAGUUCGACAUGAAGCCCGUGUGUAAGAGGUGCUACGAGAAGUUCCCGCUGGAGCUGAAGAAGCGGCUGAAGAAGCUGUCGGAGCUGACCUCCCGCAAGGCCCAGCCCAAGGCCGCAGACCUCAACUCUGCCUGAAGGCCCUCUUGCGCAGCCGCCUCUCGGCCCCUCCGCCUUCUCCCCUCCCGCUGUCCAUGCUUGGCCCCCUCGUCCCCAUCCACCUGUGCCCUCCGCAUCUUACCCUCCCUUUCUCUUUCCUCAUUGCCUUCUCCCUUCCUGUUCCCUCAUCUCUGCCUUCCCCAUGUCUCUCCUCUCCUUGGCCGUGGCUUCUGUCUGUGAGGAGGUAGGAGCUGGGGAGUGGGAGCCUAUGACCCCAUGUCUGACAGCCAUGUCCACCUGUGCCCACAGCUUCCGCCCACAGACCUCCAGGGACAGGAGCAAAUUGCACCACAGCUCCCCGCCUGGCCUGGCCCUCCCCAGGCGGCUCAGUGGCUCUUGCUGUCCUGUGAGAGACCCUGCCCCAGAGCGGCCCCACUAAGCGCAUGUGGCUCCUGGGCUACCCACAGCCAGGGCAGCCUGCUGGAGCCACACAGGGCCAGAGUCAUGCAGAUGGAGGCCUCUGGGAGCCACCUCCAAUCCCUCACCACUCACUCAACCAGUGGCACAGUGUCCUUGUGCCCACACUGAGCCAGCAAGUCCUGCUGUCCACACCCACAAGCUACCUGGAGGGACAGGACCCACCUCCAUCCUUCGGAAGGCCUUCCUGGAAUCCCACCUUGGCCUCCCACCUCGGUUCCGCCCCGCCCCCCUCCCCCUGACCUUGGGGCUUGUGUUGAGCCCUUGGGUGGGGCCAGGAGGUGAUGGCGUCAGAGGAGGUGUGGUCAGAGGUGGCUUGUUCCCACCUCCAGGGAGGACGCUUCGUCUUCGGCCAGCGCAGACCUGGUGUUUGUUGGGCUCACGCUUGCACAAUGAAGGCUUGUUCACACAAC